UACGGGAGGCAGCAGUGGGGAAUAUUGCACAAUGGGCGCAAGCCUGAUGCAGCCAUGCCGCGUGUAUGAAGAAGGCCUUCGGGUUGUAAAGUACUUUCAGUCGUGAGGAAGGUGUUAAGGUUAAUAACCUUAGCAAUUGACGUUAGCGACAGAAGAAGCACCGGCUAACUCCGUGCCAGCAGCCGCGGUAAUACGGAGGGUGCGAGCGUUAAUCGGAAUUACUGGGCGUAAAGGGCACGCAGGCGGUUAAUUAAGUUGGAUGUGAAAUCCCCGGGCUUAACCUGGGAAUGGCAUUCAAGACUGGUUAGCUAGAGUCUUGUAGAGGGGGUAGAAUUCCAUGUGUAGCGGUGAAAUGCGUAGAGAUGUGGAGGAAUACCGGUGGCGAAGGCGGCCCCUGGCAAAGACUGACGCUCAUGUGCGAAGCGUGGGGAGCAAACAGGGAUUAGAUACC
rnacentral:rRNA from 1 species